rnacentral:rRNA from 1 species
GAUGAACGCUGGCGGCGUGCCUAAUACAUGCCAGUCGAGCGAACAGACGAGGAGCUUGCUCCUCUGACGUUAGCGGCGGACGGGUGAGUAACACGUGGAUAACCUACCUAUAAGACUGGGAUAACUUCGGGAAACCGGAGCUAAUACCGGAUAAUAUAUUGAACCGCAUGGUUCAAUAGUGAAAGACGGUUUUGCUGUCACUUAUAGAUGGAUCCGCGCCGCAUUAGCUAGUUGGUAAGGUAACGGCUUACCAAGGCAACGAUGCGUAGCCGACCUGAGAGAGGGGGAGGCAACAGGGGACAAGCGACAGGGUACGGACGACGCAGGGGGGCGAGACGAGGGAAGGUUCAGCAAGGUGAUAGAACCUGACGGAGCAAUGCUACGUGAGUAAAAAAGGUAUAAGUAACGUAAAACUCUGUGAUGAAGCAAAAACAAAAGUGCAAGGAACAAUACGCGACAGCAGGGGAGCUAAUCAGAAAAACAGCGCUCAACAGAGC